AAUUUGCUAUUUGCUCGGACAUUAACAGAGUUAAAUCAUAGUCAAUGUUUCAUGUUAUGUGUGAAAAUGUAUCAGCGUUUAUUGUUUUUAUUUAAUAUCAAAUGAAACGCCUGUAGUAUCUGUAGUUUUACCACUUUGUGAGGACUUGUUGAUUUAAUUCAUAUGAACCAGUAGCAUUUAAGCGAGUCGCUAAUGACCGUUAGGAGUGAACUUCGAGCGGGAACAGACACCUGAACAACUUUAUUUUUGAACACCUGUAGUUGUGUGUGUCCCAUAUUGUUGUAGGUUAUGGUUGACUUCAGACGAUGAGUGACUGCUUCCCCUGCUUGGUGACUGAUGGAGAGGAGCAGAUCGCUGACACAAAAUUGCCUGAAAAAAUGAGUCUUGAACGUUCGCUUGCUUGUGUUCGCUGUGAUCACUUUCUCAAAGUAAGAUGAAACACUCGUCAUCGUUCUUCUGAUUCUCCUGCAAGGUCAAACACACAGCAACUCUGUUUACUUCACAUCAAUAAUUCUGCAAUGGAAAUCGGUUUAUUCAUGCAGAACAAAAGUGGAUGUAGCAGGCAAAAGUGCAGCUUGAAGCUGAACCGGGAACUUACCAAGUC